rnacentral:rRNA from 1 species
GCAAGUCGAACGGCAGCGGGGGAGAAGCUUGCUUUUCCUGCCGGCGAGUGGCGAACGGGUGAGUAAUACAUCGGAACGUGCCCUGUAGUGGGGGAUAACUAGUCGAAAGAUUAGCUAAUACCGCAUACGACCUGAGGGUGAAAGUGGGGGACCGCAAGGCCUCAUGCUAUAGGAGCGGCCGAUGUCUGAUUAGCUAGUUGGUGGGGUAAAGGCCUACCAAGGCGACGAUCAGUAGCUGGUCUGAGAGGACGAUCAGCCACACUGGGACUGAGACACGGCCCAGACUCCUACGGGAGGCAGCAGUGGGGAAUUUUGGACAAUGGGCGAAAGCCUGAUCCAGCAAUGCCGCGUGUGUGAAGAAGGCCUUCGGGUUGUAAAGCACUUUUGUCCGGAAAGAAAUGGCUCUGGUUAAUACCUGGGGUCGAUGACGGUACCGGAAGAAUAAGGACCGGCUAACUACGUGCCAGCAGCCGCGGUAAUACGUAGGGUCCAAGCGUUAAUCGGAAUUACUGGGCGUAAAGCGUGCGCAGGCGGUUGUGCAAGACCGAUGUGAAAUCCCCGAGCUUAACUUGGGAAUUGCAUUGGUGACUGCACGGCUAGAGUGUGUCAGAGGGGGGUAGAAUUCCACGUGUAGCAGUGAAAUGCGUAGAGAUGUGGAGGAAUACCGAUGGCGAAGGCAGCCCCCUGGGAUAACACUGACGCUCAUGCA